GGAUCAUUACAGAGUUGCAAAACUCCCUAAACCAUUGUGAACGUUACCUUUACCGUUGCUUCGGCGGGCGGCCCGGGUCCUGCCCGGCGCCCCUCGGCCCUCGCGGGCGCCCGCCGGAGGAAAACCAAACCAUUGCAUUGUAUGGCCUCUCUGAGUCUUCUGUACUGAAUAAGUCAAAACUUUCAACAACGGAUCUCUUGGUUCUGGCAUCGAUGAAGAACGCAGCGAAAUGCGAUAAGUAAUGUGAAUUGCAGAAUUCAGUGAAUCAUCGAAUCUUUGAACGCACAUUGCGCCCGCCAGUAUUCUGGCGGGCAUGCCUGUUCGAGCGUCAUUUCAACCAUCAAGCCCCCGGCUUGUGUUGGGGACCUGCGGCUGCCGCAGGCCCUGAAAACCAGUGGCGGGCUCGCUGUCACUCCGAGCGUAGUAGUUUACAUCUCGCUCAGGGCGUGCUGCGGGUUCCGGCCGUUAAAAGCCUUAUUUUACCCAAGGUUGACCUCGGAUCAGGUAGGAAGACCCGCUGAACUUAAGCAUAUCAAUAAGCGGAGG
rnacentral:rRNA from 1 species